CCUACGGGUGGCAGCAGUCGAGAAUCAUUCACAAUGGGGGAAACCCUGAUGGUGCGACGCCGCGUGGGGGAAUGAAGGUCUUCGGAUUGUAAACCCCUGUCAUGUGGGAGCAAAUUAAAAAGAUAGUACCACAAUAGGAAGAGACGGCUAACUCUGUGCCAGCAGCCGCGGUAAUACAGAGGUCUCAAGCGUUGUUCGGAAUCACUGGGCGUAAAGCGUGCGUAGGCUGUUUCGUAAGUCGUGUGUGAAAGGCGCGGGCUCAACCCGCGGACGGCACAUGAUACUGCGAGACUAGAGUAAGGGAGGGGGAACCGGAAUUCUCGGUGUAGCAGUGAAAUGCGUAGAUAUCGAGAGGAACACUGGUGGCGAAGGCGGGUUCCUGGACAUUAACUGACGCUGAGGCACGAAGGCCAGGGGAGCGAAAGGGAUUAGAUACCCCAGUAGUC
rnacentral:rRNA from 1 species